UGUCCGAGGAGCGAGUCGUCCGAUCCGAGAGCAGCGCGGUCGGUAAAGCCACGCGCAGCCUCGUGGGCAGACUCGUUGAGGUACAGAGGAACCCCCUCAACCGCACCGACGUGGGCAGGGAACCAAAAUAUGGAGUGUGUGGAGCUGUCGCCUUGUUUGGCGC
rnacentral:lncRNA from 1 species